UCAUCGUCAGAAUAAGCGGCCAUCUUAUGACAGUAGGCCCAAAUGUGGGUUCUUGGAUCACUGGCUCCUUUAUACUUUUCAAUGUCAUGGACUUUGAACUUAGCAAGGAUAACCACAUCAGGUACAAGGUGUAACACCCCAAAAUUUGCCCUCCUCCUUCAUGCAAUCAUUUUUAGGUCAUUUAACAUUUCAUAUUGCAUUUCAUCAUGUCAAUCAGAAUCAGAUCCAAGAAACUUUAUUUAAAAAAAACGAAAG
rnacentral:lncRNA from 1 species